GGCAGUGGCGGACGGGUGAGUAACACGUAGGAAUCUGCCCCGAGGUGGGGAAUAACUGACCGAAAGGUUAGCUAAUACCGCAUACGAUCCGGGAGGAUGAAAGGCGCAAGUCGCCUUGGGAUGAGCCUGCGUCCGAUUAGCUAGUUGGUGGGGUAAUGGCCCACCAAGGCAGAGAUCGGUAGCUGAUCUGAGAGGAUGAUCAGCCACACUGGAACUGAGAUACGGUCCAGACUCCUACGGGAGGCAGCAGUAAGGGAUAUUGCACAAUGGGCGAAAGCUUGAUGCAGCAACGCCGCGUGCGCGAAGAAGGCCUUCGGGUCGUAAAGCGCUUUUCCAGGGGAAGAGGAAGGACAGUACCCUGGGAAUAAGUCUCGGCUAACUACGUGCCAGCAGCCGCGGUAAGACGUAGGAGGCGAGCGUUAUCCGGAUUUACUGGGCGUAAAGGGCAAGUAGGCGGCGGCAGAAGUUGUGCGUGAAAUCUCCCGGCUCAACUGGGAGGGAGCGUGCAAAACUGGGUCGCUAGAUGGCAGAAGAGGAGAGCAGAAUUCCUGGUGUAGCGGUGGAAUGCUCAGAUACCAGGAGGAAUACCAGUGGCGAAGGCGGCUCUCUGGUCUGAACCUGACGCUGAGAGGCGAAAGCUAGGGGAGCGAACGGGCUUAGAUACCCCGGUAGUCCUAGCUGUAAACGUUGGGUACUAGGUAAUGGGGGGUAUAAACCCCUCAGUGCCGAAGCAAACGCGUUAAGUACCCCGCCUGGGGACUACGGCCGCAAGGUUAAAACUCAAAGGAAUUGACGGGAGCCCGCACAAGCAGCGGAGCGUGUGGUUUAAUUCGAUGCAACACGAAGAACCUUACCUGGGUUUGACAUGUAUGUAGUAGGGAAGCGAAAGCGGACCGACCCGCAAGGGAGCAUACACAGGUGCUGCAUGGCUGUCGUCAGCUCGUGCCGUGAGGUGUUGGGUUAAGUCCUCUAACGAGCGCAACCCUCGUUGCCAGUUAAAGAUUUCUGGCGAGACUGCCGGGAUAUAACCGGAGGAAGGUGGGGAUGACGUCAAGUCAGCAUGGCCUUUAUAUCCAGGGCUACACACACGCUACAAUGGUCGGUACAGAGGGAAGCCAAGCCGCGAGGCGGAGCUAAUCUCACAAAGCCGAUCUCAGUUCAGAUUGCAGGCUGCAACCCGCCUGCAUGAAGUUGGAGUUGCUAGUAACCGCAGGUCAGCCAUACUGCGGUGAAUACGUUCCCGGGCUUUGUACACACCGCCCGUCACGUCAUGGAAGCUGGGAAUACCUAAAAGCAGUGAGCUAACCGCAAGGGGGCAGCUGUCUAAGGUAGGUCUAGUGACUGGGACGAAGUCGUAACAAGGUAGCGUACCGGAAGGUGUGGCUGGAUCACCUCCUU
rnacentral:rRNA from 1 species